rnacentral:rRNA from 1 species
CAGCCGCCACGGGAAUACGAAGGGUGCAAGCGUUACUCGGAAUUACUGGGCGUAAAGCGUGUGUAGGUGGUUGUUUAAGUCUGUCGUGAAAGCCCUGGGCUCAACCUGGGAAUUGCGAUGGAUACUGGGCGACUAGAGUGCGGUAGAGGAUAGUGGAAUUUCCGGUGUAGCAGUGAAAUGCGUAGAGAUCGGAAGGAACAUCUGUGGCGAAGGCGACUAUCUGGGCCAACACUGACACUGAGACACGAAAGCGUGGGGAGCAAACAGGAUUAGAGACCCCCGUAGUCCCUGUCUCUUAUAC